CUUUUGGGCAGCCCCCGAUGACCUCGAGCCGCCACCGCCGCCCUCAGCCCUGCCCGACUUUGGGGACCUGGCCCUGCCACCGCCACCGGCCGCAGAGGACCCGCUGUGGGCCCCGGAGAGCUACCGGGAGCAUCCCAAACCCCUGGAGAAAGUGCUGGCCCUGUUCCCGUAGCGGUGGCAGAAGGACACCGAGCUGUCCCCGGCGCCGGGCACCGUUUGUCACCCGCCGCCUGCUGCGGGGCUGCUGGAGCCCGGCUCGGGAUCCUUCCCCGGGAAUUUCGUGGAUCCCGUCUGAGCCCCGCGGCCGCCGCCUCCCCCCGCGCCCCGCUCGGGAUUCCCUUGGAAUUUCGGCUUUGGCACCGCUGGGAUCGCGCGGAGCUGCCCGGGCGCGCUUCCUGCAAUACCAGAUUUGUCUCCCAUCCA